CAGGCGCGAAAACUUUACAAUGCGGGAAACCGUGAUAAGGGGACACCGAGUGCCAGCAACAUUUGCUGGCUGUCCAGGUGUGUAAACUACACCUGUUAGCAAGGGCCGGGCAAGACCGGUGCCAGCCGCCGCGGUAACACCGGCGGCCCGAGUGGUGAUCGUGAUUAUUGGGUCUAAAGGGUCCGUAGCCGGUUUGGUCAGUCCUCCGGGAAAUCUGACGGCUUAACCGUUAGGCUUUCGGGGGAUACUGCCAGGCUUGGAACCGGGAGAGGUAAGAGGUACUACAGGGGUAGGAGUGAAAUCUUGUAAUCCCUGUGGGACCACCUGUGGCGAAGGCGUCUUACCAGAACGGGUUCGACGGUGAGGGACGAAAGCUGGGGGCACGAACCGGAUUAGAUACCCGGGUAGUCCCAGCCGUAAACGAUGCUCGCUAGGUGUCAGGCAUGGCGCGACCGUGUCUGGUGCCGCAGGGAAGCCGUGAAGCGAGCCACCUGGGAAGUU
rnacentral:rRNA from 1 species